rnacentral:tRNA from 1 species
AGGACUAUAGUUAACUAUAACAUUUAAUUUGCAUUUAAAAAGUAUUGAUUUAUUCAAUUAGUCUUA